rnacentral:rRNA from 1 species
UACGGGGGGGGCAAGCGUUGUUCGGAAUUACUGGGCGUAAAGGGCGCGUAGGCGGCCGAUCAAGUCAGAUGUGAAAGUCCUGGGCUUAACCUGGGGACUGCAUUUGAUACUGAUUGGCUUGAAUGCAGGAGAGGAUAGCGGAAUUCCCAGUGUAGAGGUGAAAUUCGUAGAUAUUGGGAAGAACACCGGUGGCGAAGGCGGCUCUCUGGACCGAUACUGACGCUGAGGUGCGAAAGCGUGGGGAGCAAACAGG